AGACGUCAUGCAGCGAUUUUAGUUGAUUGGAGGUCGUACUGAUAGUCUCCCAGGGUUUCCUCGGGAGGUUUCUCCCGACUGGGAGUCCAUUCCACAGUUCGCUUGUGAAGCGGACUAUUAAGUUUCCAAGCCAAGUUGUUGCCUGCAAGAGAUCACAUAAAAGCUAAGCACUUCCUUUUUAUUUAAUAUUUUAAUUGUAUUUAUGUAUUAUUGCAAUGAAGUGAGUAAAUAAAUGUUUAUAUAAAUAAAAUAUGUGUAAACUUGUA